rnacentral:sRNA from 1 species
AAUCUAAAUCAGUGAGCAAUCAUUGACAUGAUGAAGUAAGCCCCCGUAAAAGAUAAAAAACUCUUAGUCAGAGUUUGCCUUUUACGGGGCUGUAUCUGGAAACAGAUGCAGGUGGUCGCAAGAUCAUC